AGGAGGGCCACCUGCUUUGAGGCGGCCAGGGGGUAUUGCUGCUCAGACCCAGGGGCCUCUGUGGAGGGUCUGGGUGGCCCUGGGGGCAGCUCCAGGCUACCUGUGCCGGGUUUUCACUUUGACAAUGAGAGGAGGGUGCCUUGGAGGUGAUUGGAAGCCAGCAUGUGUCACCCAGCCCUGCAGAGAAAGGAAUCACAGCAGACAGCCCUGCCCAGCCGAGAAGAAGAGCUUGGGCUAGCCAGGAAAAGAAGAGGCCAAAUCCCAGCCUUCUAGCAAAGAGAUUCACGGGGACAGAUUAUAACUUUCUUCCGAGGUGAGAUCAAAGGCUCUGUGAGAGGCCUGCUUGUCUUUUUCUGGCAAAGCAAACUUCCCCACAUCUGUUCUGGCCGGCUCCACUAGGAAAAAAAAAGCUAUCAGGGUGCUGCAGAAGUCAGGACAACUUCCCAGGGAUGAUUCUCAGCUCCCGCCCUGGAUGUCACAGUUUAGCUACAGAAACCGAGUGGCCCAAAUAUCUGGAGGCUGAAGAUAAAUUGACAAAGAGGCGGGCCGCGCACGCUCUCACGCUUCGGCAGCUCAGAUACCUGUUACCUGGCGUUAAUUGCAUUUACAGCGGGAGAGAGAGCUUGGGCUCUCACCAGGUACCAAUUGCACGUGUGUGUUUAACUUUUUAUGGAGACUUUUAUUAACUUUUCAUUCUGGAAAUGCAUGCAUAUCCUCCCUGUGCAGCUUGAAAAAUGUUCACAGCGUGAACGCCCGUGUCACCAGCGCUCAGCUCAACACACAGAAGAUCACCCAUCCUCAGGAAGCUGCUUCUGUGCCCCAGCUUGUUUACUGAGUGUUUGCAUAAAAUAUUCACUGAUUCAUGAGUGUGGGUCAGUAAUAAAAGCCACUCCACGUUGUUAUUCCAAAGAGGAGUGAGUUUAUCCCCAAGAUUAGUUCUAGAGUCCCUGGAAGGAGAGAGAGAGAGAGAGAGAGAGGGAGAGAGUUUGAGAAAAAAGAAGAGAGCUUUCUCUCUUUCUGUCUCUCAAGUCAAGGACACAGACCUGGUAGAAAAGGCCUUGCUUUUUCAAUUACCCAGGUUCUUGGUGCCCACACGAGGAGUAAAUGCUAUUGUUUUGACUUUCUCCACCCGACAGGCCAGUCGCCACAGGAAGGAGGAGAAGCCCAGCCCAGCUGGCUGCUCAAUGUGGCACCUUCAUCGUCUGCCUACUGGCUCACUCACCUCCUCCUGCUACCUUUGAUCUGGGUGGCGCUUCUGCUCUCAGCCAGGGAAAUGAUAGUGUGGUUAAGCAGCACUGUUAGGGGCCUGGGUCCCGGGCUGGGACCAACCUCCCCACACCCAGAGGGUGCUUUCCUCCUAGCUCGGGCCCUGAUAUACACCAGGUCUACAAAAGUACGGCGUUGAGCCGUGUCGAUCCAGGUGAUGCUUUAAAUAUUUUCCAGCAAGGCUGUGAACGGUAAAAAGAGAAUUCAGAAGCUGGCUGAGAGCUGGCCUGGGCAGCUGGCAUCAACGUGUGCCCACCUUGUGCCAGGCUCUUUAAGUGCAUGAUGGCACUUCCCCUCACGUUGACUCCGUAAGGAAGGCAGGAUCACACCAGCUGGAGAUGAUGAGAAUCUUGAGGCUCCGAGAGGUGGCGGGGACCUCGUUAGCAUGACACAGCUGCAGGUGACCAGGAAGCCCACAAAAAGCUGCUCAGCAUCAUCAGAGAAGUGGAAAUGAAAACCACCCUGAGGCAGUGGAAGCAAUUGAAGGCCCACCACUGACGCGUGGACAGAUCGGCCGCACUCCAUCCGUCCAGUGGCGUAAGACUCAGCCAUAAAGAGGGGCGAGGCGCUGGCACAGGCUAAAGCACGGAGGAGCCUCGGAAACACGACGCUGCGCGGAAGAAGCCACGCACACACGGCCGUGUAUUGCGUGAUUCCACGGAUGUGACACGUCCAGAACAGGCAAGUCCUCGCGAACAGAAAGCACACUAGUGUUUGCCGGGGGCUGGUGGGUGGGGCAAUGGGGAGUGACUGCUUACAAGGUGUGGGAUUUCCUUUUGGGGAUAUGAAGAUGUUUUGGAACUAAAUAGAAAUGAUGGUUGACCAACAUGGUGGAUGUCCUCAAUGCCACUGAAUCAUACACUUUUAAAUGGUUAAUUUUCUGCUGUGUAAAUUCUAUCUCAGUAAAAACAUAUGUAAAUCAAAAAGAGAGAGAGAAAAAACCAUACUGCGAUGCCCUUUGACACACU
rnacentral:lncRNA from 1 species